UACGAAAGGUGCAAGCGUUGUUCGGAAUCAUUGGGCGUAAAGCGCACGUAGGCGGGAAUGUGUGUCGAUUGUGAAAUCCCAGGGCUCAACCCUGGAAUUGCAGUCGAAACUGCAUUUCUUGAAUACUUGAGAGGGUGGGGGAAUUCCUGGUGAAGCAGUGAAAUGCGUAGAUAUCAGGAGGAACAUCGGAGGCGAAGGCGCCUACCUGGCAAGAUAUUGACGCUGAGGUGCGAAAGUGCGGGGAGCAAACAGG
rnacentral:rRNA from 1 species